AGUACUACGCCGGAUGAACGGGAGUCAUUGAUGUUGACUAUUAUGGGAUUUUUUGGUGUCUCUAGUACUA
rnacentral:tRNA from 1 species